UACAGAGGGGGCAAGCGUUGUUCGGAAUUACUGGGCGUAAAGGGCGCGUAGGCGGCCUGUUAAGUCGAACGUGAAAUCCCUGGGCUCAACCCAGGAACUGCGUCCGAUACUGGCAGGCUUGAAUUCGGGAGAGGGAUGCGGAAUUCCAGGUGUAGCGGUGAAAUGCGUAGAUAUCUGGAGGAACACCGGUGGCGAAGGCGGCAUCCUGGACCGAUAUUGACGCUGAGGCGCGAAAGCUAGGGGAGCAAACGGG
rnacentral:rRNA from 1 species